rnacentral:rRNA from 1 species
AACGAACGCUGGCGGCAGGCCUAACACAUGCAAGUCGAACGCCCGUAGCAAUACGGGAGUGGCAGACGGGUGAGUAACGCGUGGGAACGUGCCCUUCGGUUCGGAAUAACUCAGGGAAACUUGAGGCUAAUACCGGAUACGUCCGUAAGGAGAAAGAUUUAUCGCCGAAGGAUCGGCCCGCGUCGGAUUAGCUAGUUGGUGAGGUAAUGGCUCACCAAGGCGACGAUCCGUAGCUGGUCNGAGA